rnacentral:tRNA from 1 species
GCUCCUGUAGUGUAACGGCUAAGCACAGGGGCCUUUCAAGCCCUUAAUUCGGGUUCGAUUCCCGGCGGGAGCA